GCGAUCGAGAGCUUGCUUCUUUGCUGACGAGUGGCGGACGGGUGAGUAAUGUCUGGGAAACUGCCUGAUGGAGGGGGAUAACUACUGGAAACGGUAGCUAAUACCGCAUAACGUCGCAAGACCAAAGAGGGGGACCUUCGGGCCUCUUGCCAUCGGAUGUGCCCAGAUGGGAUUAGCUAGUAGGUGGGGUAACGGCUCACCUAGGCGACGAUCCCUAGCUAGUCUGAGAGGAUGACCAGCCACACUGGAACUGAGACACGGUCCAGACUCCUACGGGAGGCAGCAGUGGGGAAUAUUGCACAAUGGGCGCAAGCCUGAUGCAGCCAUGCCGCGUGUAUGAAGAAGGCCUUCGGGUUGUAAAGACUUUCAGCGGGGAGGAAGGGAGUAAAGUUAAUACCUUUGCUCAUUGACGUUACCCGCAGAAGAAGCACCGGCUAACUCCGUGCCAGCAGCCGCGGUAAUACCGAGGGUGCAAGCGUUAAUCGGAAUUACUGGGCGUAAAGCGCACGCAGGCGGUCUGUUAAGUCAGAUGUGAAAUCCCCGGGCUCAACCUGGGGAACUGCAUCUGAUACUGGCAAGCUUGAGUCUCGUAGAGGGGGGUAGAAUUCCAGGUGUACGGUGAAAAUGCGUAAAGAUCUGGAGGAAUACCG
rnacentral:rRNA from 1 species